AACGAACGCUGGCGGCAGGCCUAACACAUGCAAGUCGAACGCGCGUAGCAAUACGCGAGUGGCGCACGGGUGAGUAACACGUGGGAACCAACCCAGAGGUUCGGAAUAACCGCGGGAAACUGCGGCUAAUACCGGAUAUCCCCUACGGGGGAAAGAUUUAUCGCCUCUGGACGGGCCCGCGUCCGAUUAGCUAGUUGGUGAGGUAAUGGCUCACCAAGGCGACGAUCGGUAGCUGGUCUGAGAGGACGACCAGCCACACUGGAACUGAGACACGGUCCAGACUCCUACGGGAGGCAGCAGGUGGGGGAAUAUUGGGCAAUGGGAGGCAACUCUGACCCAGCCAUGCCGCGUGGGU
rnacentral:rRNA from 1 species